rnacentral:rRNA from 1 species
CCGCGUGAGGGAUGACGGCCUUCGGGUUGUAAACCUCUUUUAGUAGGGAAGAAGCGAAAGUGACGGUACCUGCAGAAAAAGCACCGGCUAACUACGUGCCAGCAGCCGCGGUAAUACGUAGGGUGCAAGCGUUGUCCGGAAUUAUUGGGCGUAAAGAGCUCGUAGGCGGUUUGUCGCGUCUGCUGUGAAAUCUGGGGGCUCAACCCCCAGCCUGCAGUGGGUACGGGCAGACUAGAGUGCGGUAGGGGAGAUUGGAAUUCCUGGUGUAGCGGUGGAAUGCGCAGAUAUCAGGAGGAACACCGAUGGCGAAGGCAGAUCUCUGGGCCGUAACUGACGCUGAGGAGCGAAAGCAUGGGGAGCGAACAGGAUUAGAUACCCUGGUAGUCCAUGCCGUAAACGUUGGGAACUAGAUGUGGGGGCCAUUCCACGGUCUCCGUGUCGCAGCUAACGCAUUAAGUUCCCCGCCUGGGGAGUACGGCCGCAAGGCUAAAACUCAAAGGAAUUGACGGGGGCCCGCACAAGCGGCGGAGCAUGCGGAUUAAUUCGAUGCAACGCGAAGAACCUUACCAAGGCUUGACAUAUACCGGAAACGUCCAGAGAUGGUCGCCCCGCAAGGU